rnacentral:rRNA from 1 species
GUGUCAGCCGCCGCGGUAAUACGGAGGGUGCGAGCGUUGUCCGGAAUCACUGGGCGUAAAGGGCGCGUAGGUGGCGCGCUAAGUCGGAUGUGAAAUCCCGGGGCUCAACUCCGGGGCUGCAUCCGAGACUGGCGUGCUCGAGCGUGGUAGAGGCGAGUGGAAUUCCCGGUGUAGCGGUGGAAUGCGUAGAGAUCGGGAAGAACACCGGUGGCGAAGGCGGCUCGCUGGGCCAUUGCUGACACUGAGGCGCGAAAGCGUGGGGAGCAAACAGGAUUAGAUACCCCGGUAGUCC